GGAAGACCUGCCAGUGAGACAAGGAGGCGGGAUCUUCCAGGUGCCUUUCUGCAAGUUCACUAUGGCAGUGCAGACUUGAAUGGCUCUCUGUGUCCUGCUCUGAACUCAGGUGUUGGGUGCUGUAAGGGGACCUCAGCAAAGUUCUGAAGUUGAGACACAGGGUCACUGCCCACAAUUCAGAGGAGCAGGAUGCAGUGACUUAUGAUGCUGUGCAUGUGAACUUUCCUAGGGAAGAGUAGAAUUUGCUGGAUCCUUCCUAGAAGAGUCUCUACAAAGAUGUGAUGCAGGAAACCUACUUGGACCUCACUGUUAUAGGCCACACUUGGGAAGACUAUCAUAUUGAAGGACAUUGUCAAAGUUUGAGAAGACAUGAAAGGUAAUCUUCAUGUGCACUCUGAUACGCAUAUGGCUCUGAGGAAAUUUUAAUAUGUUCUGGAAGCUCUAAAGAAAAGCAAGAGUGCCGGGCAGUAGUGGCGGACACCUUUAAUCCCAGCACUUGGGAGGAAGAAGCAACACAGAAAAACCUGAGAAAAGUGGCUCAGGACAGGACCCUGGCGAUUCAAGAAUAGAAACCAACCUCAGAGGAGGAAUCUGACUCAGAAAAUAAAUUCACAUAACAUUGUGAAUAUAAAGGGCUUGCUGUGUGCAUUUAAAGAGGAGCCAGUCCACAGGACCCCCUGAAAAACAUGAAAAGGCAGUAAAAGAUUCUGACAGAUUGUAAAAGGUCACAAAAGACCUGAAAUUGGCAAAACAGAUUUCAUUUUUAUUAGAAGUACCUCCAUUGAUUUAGAAAAAUAGAGGUGCACAAUGCUCUGGCCACACCUCGAACCUGUGUGUCUGCCAAUGUUGUGACCGUUCCUUGAACCCAGGUGUGACCCACUGC
rnacentral:lncRNA from 1 species